rnacentral:rRNA from 1 species
AUGGUUAAGUUAGAAAGGGCGCACGGUGAAUGCCUUGGCACUAGGAGCCGAUGAAGGACGGGACUAACACCGAUAUGCUUCGGGGAGCUGUAAGUGAGCUUUGAUCCGGAGAUUUCCGAAUGGGGAAACCCACUGUUCGUAAUGGAACAGUAUCUUUAUCUGAAUACAUAGGAUAUUGAAGGCAGACCCGGGGAACUGAAACAUCUAAGUACCCGGAGGAAGAGAAAGCAAAUGCGAUUUCCUGAGUAGCGGCGAGCGAAACGGAAUUAGCCCAAACCAAGAGUCUUGCCUCUUGGGGUUGUAGGACACUCUAUACGGAGUUACAAAGGAACGAAGUAAAUGAAGCGACCUGGAAAGGUCCGUCAAAGAAGGUAACAACCCUGUAGUUGAAACUUCGUUCCCUCUUGAGUGGAUCCUGAGUACGGCGGAACACGUGAAAUUCCGUCGGAAGCUGGGAGGACCAUCUCCCAAGGCUAAAUACUACCUAGUGACCGAUAGUGAACCAGUACCGUGAGGGAAAGGUGAAAAGCACCCCGGAAGGGGAGUGAAAGAGAUCCUGAAACCGUGUGCCUACAAGUAGUCAGAGCCCGUUAACGGGUGAUGGCGUGCCUUUUGUAGAAUGAACCGGCGAGUUACGAUCCCAUGCAAGGUUAAGCUGAUAAGGCGGAGCCGUAGCGAAAGCGAGUCUGAAUAGGGCGUUUAGUAUGUGGUUGUAGACCCGAAACCAGGUGAUCUACCCAUGUCCAGGGUGAAGUUCAGGUAACACUGAAUGGAGGCCCGAACCCACGCACGUUGAAAAGUGCGGGGAUGAGGUGUGGGUAGCGGAGAAAUUCCAAUCGAACCUGGAGAUAGCUGGUUCUCUCCGAAAUAGCUUUAGGGCUAGCCUCAUGUUGUGAGAGUCUUGGAGGUAGAGCACUGAUUGGACUAGGGGCCCCCAACGGGUUACCGAAUUCAGUCAAACUCCGAAUGCCAAAGACUUAUCCAUGGGAGUCAGACUGCGAGUGAUAAGAUCCGUAGUCAAAAGGGAAACAGCCCAGACCACCAGCUAAGGUCCCCAAGUAUACGUUAAGUGGAAAAGGAUGUGGAGUUGCUUAGACAACCAGGAUGUUGGCUUAGAAGCAGCCACCAUUUAAAGAGUGCGUAAUAGCUCACUGGUCGAGUGACUCUGCGCCGAAAAUGUACCGGGGCUAAACGUAUCACCGAAGCUGUGGAUUGACAUCUUUGAUGUCAGUGGUAGGAGAGCGUUCUAAGUGCAGCGAAGUCAGACCGUAAGGACUGGUGGAGCGCUUAGAAGUGAGAAUGCCGGUAUGAGUAGCGAAAGACAAGUGAGAAUCUUGUCCACCGAAUGCCUAAGGUUUCCUGAGGAAGGCUCGUCCGCUCAGGGUUAGUCGGGACCUAAGCCGAGGCUGAAAAGCGUAGGCGAUGGCCAACAGGUUGAUAUUCCUGUACCACCUCCCCGCCGUUUGAGUAAUGGGGGGACGCAGUAGGAUAGGGUAAGCGCGCUGCUGGAUAUGCGCGUUCAAGCAGUUAGGCUGAUGAGUAGGCAAAUCCGCUCAUCAUAAAGGCUGAGCUGUGAUGACGAGGGAAUUAUAGUACCGAAGUUCCUGAUUCCACACUGCCAAGAAAAGCCUCUAGCGAGGCGGGAGGUGCCCGUACCGCAAACCGACACAGGUAGGCGAGGAGAGAAUCCUAAGGUGAUCGAGAGAACUCUCGUUAAGGAACUCGGCAAAAUGACCCCGUAACUUCGGGAGAAGGGGUGCUCUGGUAGGGUGUAUAGCCCGAGAGAGCCGCAGUGAAUAGGCCCAGGCGACUGUUUAGCAAAAACACAGGUCUCUGCGAAGCCGCAAGGCGAAGUAUAGGGGCUGACGCCUGCCCGGUGCUGGAAGGUUAAGAGGAGGGGUUAUCCUUUGGGAGAAGCUCUGAAUCGAAGCCCCAGUAAACGGCGGCCGUAACUAUAACGGUCCUAAGGUAGCGAAAUUCCUUGUCGGGUAAGUUCCGACCCGCACGAAAGGCGUAACGAUCUGGGCACUGGCUCAACGAGAGACUCGGUGAAAUUAUAGUACCUGUGAAGAUGCAGGUUACCCGCGACAGGACGGAAAGACCCCGUGGAGCUUUACUGUAGCCUGAUAUUGAAUUUUGGUACAGCUUGUACAGGAUAGGUAGGAGCCUGAGAAGCCGGAGCGCUAGCUUCGGUGGAGGCGUCGGUGGGAUACUACCCUGGCUGUAUUGAAAUUCUAACCCGCGGCCCUGAUCGGGCCGGGAGACAGUGUCAGGUGGGCAGUUUGACUGGGGCGGUCGCCUCCUAAAAUGUAACGGAGGCGCCCAAAGGUUCCCUCAGAAUGGUUGGAAAUCAUUCGUAGAGUGUAAAGGCACAAGGGAGCUUGACUGCGAGACCUACAAGUCGAGCAGGGACGAAAGUCGGGCUUAGUGAUCCGGUGGUUCCGCAUGGAAGGGCCAUCGCUCAACGGAUAAAAGCUACCCCGGGGAUAACAGGCUUAUCUCCCCCAAGAGUCCACAUCGACGGGGAGGUUUGGCACCUCGAUGUCGGCUCAUCGCAUCCUGGGGCUGUAGUCGGUCCCAAGGGUUGGGCUGUUCGCCCAUUAAAGCGGUACGCGAGCUGGGUUCAGAACGUCGUGAGACAGUUCGGUCCCUAUCCGUCGUGGGCGUAGGAAAUUUGAGAGGAGCUGUCCUUAGUACGAGAGGACCGGGAUGGACACACCGCUGGUGUACCAGUUGUCUUGCCAAAGGCAUCGCUGGGUAGCUAUGUGUGGACGGGAUAAGUGCUGAAAGCAUCUAAGCAUGAAGCCCCCCUCAAGAUGAGAUUUCCCAUAGCGCAAGCUAGUAAGAUCCCUGAAAGAUGAUCAGGUUGAUAGGUCAGAGGUGGAAGCGUGGCGACAUGUGUAGCUGACUGAUACUAAUCGAUCGAGGACUUAACCAAAC